UGAGGAAUAUUGGUCAAUGGGCGCAAGCCUGAACCAGCCAUGCCGCGUGCAGGAUGACGGUCCUAUGGAUUGUAAACUGCUUUUGUACGAGAAGAAACACUACUUCGUGAAGUAGCUUGACGGUAUCGUAAGAAUAAGGAUCGGCUAACUCCGUGCCAGCAGCCGCGGUAAUACGGAGGAUCCAAGCGUUAUCCGGAAUCAUUGGGUUUAAAGGGUCCGUAGGCGGUCUUAUAAGUCAGUGGUGAAAUCUCCCCGCUCAACGGGGAAACUGCCAUUGAUACUGUAGGACUUGAAUUAUUAGGAAGUAACUAGAAUAUGUAGUGUAGCGGUGAAAUGCUUAGAGAUUACAUGGAAUACCAAUUGCGAAGGCAGGUUACUACUAAUUGAUUGACGCUGAUGGACGAAAGCGUGGGUAGCGAACAGG
rnacentral:rRNA from 1 species